AAGAAAUGCCAAAGGGUACUCUUCCAUCCCCCUGUGAAAAAAACUAAAAAACUAGUGGUGAGAAGUUAAGAGCAAGAUCACAGGAACAGAUGACAAGGAGGUGUCUGAAGGCCACAAUGAGAGUGACAUGGAAACCAGUCAAGGCACUGAUGGCCAUGGGAAGAAAAUGAUCUCAAGGAAGAGAUAAUUCCUUGAGAGGAGGCUGCUCCAGCUCUGAUUUGUUCAUUCAUUUUACAGUCAGGAAGCCACUCCACCCCAGAAGAAGGUAAUAUGAGUCCUACUACCUUUCUGAAAGGAAGGUGAGUACAGAAAAGCAAGACAGUAACUUUCCCAAGCCAGGGAACCCCUGUCUCCCCAACUUCUGCAUCAUGUAGACCAUUUGUGUCUACAACUUACAGGAGGCAGUGUAGACUAGCAGUUGAGAAUGUGAGUCUAGAAUCAGAAUGCCUGGGUUCAAACCUCAACUCUGUCACUUUCCAGCUAUUUGGCCUUGGACAUAUUACUUAAACAUUUGUGUGUUUUAAAACGUGUACACAAUCCUUUGACUCUCUUUCCAUCAAGAAGUGGAGCCUAUGUCCCCUCCCUUUGAACCUGGGUGGAAAUGUGGGAGUGCCUAGACAAAUAGAAUGUGGCAAAAGUGACACUGUGUGAUUUCCAAGGCUAGGUUAGAAAAGACCCUGCAGCUUCUGAUGAUUCCUUUAGGGACACUCAUGUCGGGAGGCUUCAGCUGCUGUGAAAGAAACUCAGCUACCCUGAGGCUGCCUUGUAGAGGGACUGCAUUUAAAGUGAGAGAUUCCUGAGGAGUUCCAGCCAUCCAGCCCCAAGCAGUGUGAACCUCCUAGUCUAGACCCCAGCAUUUGAGCUGACCUCAGCCCCAGCCACCAAUUGACUGCAAACUCAUGAGACACCCUGAGUGAGAACUGCCUAGCUUAGUCUCUGUCAACCCUCAAAUUUCAGGAACAAAAUAAAUGAUUGUUGUUGUCUUAAGACCACUGUUUGGGGAUGGUUUCUUAUCAUGCAAUAGAUAGCUGAUGCAGACUUUUCUAUAACCUAGAAACGGAAUGCUGCCAUCACAGAACCUAAGUCAUGUGGCUUUAGGACUGGGAGAUGGGUAGAGAUUGUAAGGACUUUGAGGAUAUUGUUGAUGGAAGUCUGAUAGUUCUCAAGGAAGUUGCUGGUGAGGGCUUAAAGGAAAGUGAGAAAUUUUUAUUAGAAGCAGGAGGAAAGGGGACAAACCCUUAUUACGUGGUGGAAGAAAGUUAGUAACAUUGUCACUUGAAGCUAUGUGAGCAAUAGAAAAUGUGCCUAAUGAAGGCUGGGCACGGUGGCUCACACCUCUAACCCCAGCACUUUGGGAGGCCGAGGUGGGCAGAUCACAUGAGGUCAGGAGUUCGAGACCAGCCUGGCCAACACGGAGAAAUCCUGUCCCUACUAAAAAUACAAAAAUUAGCUGGGCUUGGUGGCUCAUGCUUGUAAUCCCAGCUACUCGGGAGGCCGAAGCUGCAGAAUCGCUUGAGCCCAGAGGGCAGAGGUUGCAGUUAGCCAAGAUCACGCCACUGCACUCCAGCCUGGGCGAAAGAGCGAGACUCCGUCUCAAAAAAAAAAAAAAAAAAGGAAAAUUUGGUUGUUGUGUUUUGCUGAAACAGAAAAAAAUUGUCAACAAACAAAAGAACAGAUUAAGAGAAAUUGAUGAGUUAUAUAAUUGGGUUUAAAUAGAGCCUAAAAUCUUGAGAAGAACUUUAAUCAGAAAAUAAGAACAGUUUUGUGAAAUGCGUGUAUUUUGUGUGUCUGUCGAUGUGUGUUUGUAAAUGUAGCAUAUGUGUGUAGACUGUUGAUACACAAGGCAUAGGUUCAUGUAUAAAUGUGAUGUGAAUGUGUAUUUAGUGUGUGGGUGGUAUGCAGUAGGUAUGUUUACAUGUGUUUGGUGUGGGUACAUGCAGUAUGCCUAUUGUAUGCAACGAACAUAGAAAAGGUAGGUAUAGUGUGAAUGUGUGCAGGAUAUGUGUGCAUUGUGUGUGUGCACGUAACCCGUGACAUGUGUAUUUCGGGCUAGUAUAAGGUGUCCUUGCUCUGUGACGCACUGGCCUUGAGCAGGGCCCAGCAAUGACGUGAAGUAACAUCAGUCUGAAACAGCUCCCGGUGGAGCUGCAUGGAGAAAUGAAAGAGAAGAGGCCUGUGACUUUCCCGGGGCUUGCCCCUCCAGGAGGAAGUGAGGAAUUGUAGGGGUCUGCUUCCCACACCCUGCGAAAUCCAGACAUGCAGAAAGCGACUGGGGUCCUGUGGAAACCUUGCUGCCAGCUCAUGGUGCCUGAUGAAAAAUCUUGCAGCUUAAGGCAUACAGAGUGGUAGGACGGACCCUGGAGACCCGGAAAGUGGGAGGGGCGGAAGGUGAGGGGUGAAAAACUACAUUUUGGGUACAACGUACACUACUCGGGUGACGGGUGCACUAAAAUCUCAGACUUCACCACCGUACAACUCAUCCAUGUAACCAAAAACCACUUGUACCUCAAAAGCUAUUGUAAUAAAAAAAAUUCUUUAAAAAAAAAGCUUGCGGUUUCCAGUUUCCAAGAAAAAUUGCUCAUCAA
rnacentral:lncRNA from 1 species